rnacentral:misc_RNA from 1 species
GUAGGUGAACCUGCGGAAGGAUCAUUACUGAAGAUACAAGAGUUUUGAGACUGCGUUCUGGCGUGUGCUCGACUCUUGCUCUUUAUCCACACACACCUUUGUGCACCUUGGGAGACCGUAAGUGUCUCCCCCUUUUCACAUACACACCUAGUUAUAUGCAUGUCUUAUAUGUACUCUACGGAGUUAAUAUGUAACAACUUUCAACAACGGAUCUCUUGGCUUUC